rnacentral:rRNA from 1 species
AGCAGCCGCGGUAAUUCCAGCUCCAAUAGCGUAUAUUAAAGUUGUUGCAGUUAAAAAGCUCGUAGUUGAAUUUCGGGGUUAGUAGGUUGGUCAUGCCUCUGGUAUGUACUGGUCUCACUGAUUCCUCCUUCCUGAUGAAUCUUAAUGCCAUUAAUUUGGUGUUUUGGGGAAUUUGGACUGUUACUUUGAAAAAAUUAGAGUGUUUAAAGCAAGCUAACGCUUGAAUACAUUAGCGUGGAAUAAUGAAAUAGGACGUUCGAUCCUAUUUUGUUGGUUUCUAGGAUUGACGUAAUGAUUAAUAGGGAUAGUUGGGGGCAUUAGUAUUCAAUUGUCAGAGGUGAAAUUCUUGGAUUUAUUGAAGACUAACUACUGCGAAAGCAUUUGCCAAGGAUGUUUUCAUUAAUCAAGAACGAAAGUUAGGGGAUCGAAGACGAUCAGAUACCGUCGUAGUCUUAACCAUAAACUAUGCCGACUAGGGAUCGGAUGAUGUUAAUUUUUUAAUGACUCA